rnacentral:rRNA from 1 species
AGCAGCCGCGGUAAUUCCAGCUCCAAUAGCGUAUAUUAAAGUUGUUGCAGUUAAAAAGCUCGUAGUUGAAUUUUGGGGUCAGUAGGUUGGUCAUGCCUCCGGUAUGCACUGGUCUCACUGAUUCCUCCUUCCUGAUGAGCCGUAAUGCCAUUAAUUUGGUGUUGCGGGGAAUCUGGACUGUUACUUUGAAAAAAUUAGUGUUUAAAGCAAGCUAACGCUUGAAUACAUUAGCAUGGAAUAAUGGAAUAGGACGUUCGAUCCUAUUUUGUUGGUUUCUAGGAUUGACGUAAUGAUUAAUAGGGAUAGUUGGGGGCAUUAGUAUUCAAUUGUCAGAGGUGAAAUUCUUGGAUUUAUUGAAGACUAACUACUGUGAAAGCAUUUGCCAAGGAUGUUUUCAUUAAUCAAGAACGAAAGUUAGGGGAUCGAAGACGAUCAGAUACCGUCGUAGUC